rnacentral:rRNA from 1 species
GGCGGACGGGUGAGUAACACGUAAGAAUUUGCCUUUAGGAGGGGGAUAACAAUUGGAAACGAUUGCUAAUACCCCAUAUGCUUUCGAGUGAAAUGGAUUUUUCCGCCUAGAGAGAAGCUUGCGGCUGAUUAGCUUGUUGGUGAGGUAAUGGCUCACCAAGGCGACGAUCAGUAUCUGGUUUGAGAGGACGAUCAGACACACUGGAACUGAGACACGGUCCAG